rnacentral:rRNA from 1 species
CGUCUAUAUACGUAUAGCAUAUCAAUAAGCGGAGGAAAAGAAACUAACUAGGAUUCCCUUAGUAACGGCGAGUGAAGCGGGAAGAGCUCAAAUUUGAAAUCUUCAAGGUUCUACCUUGACGAAUUGUAGUUUAAAGAAGUGUUUUCUGUUGGAGUUUUGGUAAAAGUUCUUUGGAAUAGGACAUCAUAGAGGGUGAGAAUCCCGUAUUUGACCAUUAUUUCCAACUUUGUGAUACACUUUCAAAGAGUCGGAUUGUUUGGGAAUGCAGUCCAAAAUGGGUGGUAAAUUUCAUCUAAAGCUAAAUACUGGCGAGAGACCGAUAGCGAACAAGUACCGUGAGGGAAAGAUGAAAAGAACUUUGAAAAGAGAGUUAAACAGUACGUGAAAUUGUCAAAAGGGAAGCGUUUGACACCAGUGUUGUUUUCUCGAAAAUCAAUUAAAAAUGGAUUGGAUUUUGUGUUGUAUUGACUUUAUCAGCUUUCUGCACUCCUUUCUUGUCUUUUUUAAUGCACUUUUCGUUUAACAAGUCAACAUCAAUUUCUUUUGUUGUAAAAGGGUCCUUGGAAGGUGGCUUUCUUUUCGGAGAAAGUGUUUAUAGCCUUUGGACUUCUGCAAUCGGAGAGAUCGAGGUCUGCAGCGUAGAUCCUUCGGGGUUAGAUACAUUUGUGCUAAGUUAUAGCCUUUCAUAGACAACUUGUUGACUAUGAUCAGUCAUGUAGCUUACUCGCUUAUGUUAUUUUACCUACGCUUAGGAUGUUGACGAUCAGCUGAGCGCG